rnacentral:lncRNA from 1 species
CGACCUGAGACCGCCACGGUGACUUGCAAGCAACUCACUGCACUUAGGCACUGGACUACCUGAAUUUCUAAUUCAGUGACGGAAGGCUGCUGGGUGUAGUCAAGUACUUGACUUAUCGGUGCGUGUGUCAAGAUGGGAUUGACCACUUCAGUUUAGGAGCUGUGUACAGUCAUAUUUCAAUUUAGCAAAAUCUUGGCCAGGGUAGUCUUUGUGAGGAGUCACAGGACUGUUUGAGUUGAGCACGAU